AUUGAACGCUGGCGGCAGGCCUAACACAUGCACGUCGAACGAGUGGCGGACGGGUGAGUAAUGUCGGGGACACUGCCUGAUGGAGGGGGAUAACUACUGGAAACGGUAGCUAAUACCGCAUACCAUCAGAUGUGCCCAGAUGGGAUUAGCUUGUUGGUGGGGUAACGGCUCACCAAGGCGACGAUCCCUAGCUGGUCUGAGAGGAUGACCAGCCACACUGGAACUGGGACACGGACCAGACUCCUACGGGAUGCAGCAGUGGGGAAUAUUGCACAAUGGUCACAAGCCUAAUGCAGCCGUGCCGCGUGUAUGAAGAAGGCCUUCAGGUUGUAAAGUACUUUCAGCGAGAAGGCGUUACCCGCAGAAGAAGAACAAGAUAGCUCCGUGCCAACAGCCGCGGUAAUAC
rnacentral:rRNA from 1 species